AGAUUGAACGCUGGCGACAUGCUUUACACAUGCAAGUCGAACGGCAGCGCGGGGCAACCUGGCGGCGAGUGGCGAACGGGUGAGUAAUAUAUCGGAACGUACCCAAGAGUGGGGGAUAACGUAGCGAAAGUUACGCUAAUACCGCAUACGAUCUAAGGAUGAAAGCAGGGGACCGCAAGGCCUUGUGCUCCUGGAGCGGCCGAUAUCUGAUUAGCUAGUUGGUAGGGUAAAGGCCUACCAAGGCUACGAUCAGUAGCUGGUCUGAGAGGACGACCAGCCACACUGGAACUGAGACACGGUCCAGACUCCUACGGGAGGCAGCAGUGGGGAAUUUGGACAAUGGGCGCAAGCCUGGAUCCAGCAAUGCCGCGUGAGUGAAGAAGGCCUUCGGUGUAAGCUCUUUGUCAGGAAGAAACGGUGGGCUAAUAUCCUCCACUAAUGACGUACCAGAAGAAUAAGACGAACCGCUAACUACGUGCCAGCAGCCG
rnacentral:rRNA from 1 species